AAUGGUUCAUUAAAUCAGUCAUUAUCCGUUGGACAUUAUCGAACCGUGUCCUUACUCGGAUAACUGUGGUAAUUCUAGAGCUAAUACGUGCCACGAGUUCCCAAAGUGUUCUUUUUAACGCGAGUAGGACGCAAUUAUUAGAUCCAAAAAUUGUACCGAUUUCUUACUUGGUGUAAAACUUGGUGAAUCUGGAUAAUCACUGUAGAGCGCUUAAUUCGUGCCGGCGCCUGACCUAUGAAGAGUCUGCCCUAUCAGCUUGAUUGUAGAUUAAAUGUCUACAAUGGCUAUAACGGGUAACGGGGAAUCAGGGUUCGAUUCCGGAGAGGGAGCCUGAGAAACGGCUACCACAUCUAAGGAAGGCAGCAGGCACGCAAAUUGUUCAAUCUUAGCUCGAGGAAGCAGUGACAAAAUAUCUUGAUGCGGGACUCUUCCGAGGCCUCGCAAUCAGGAUGCGUUUACUUUAAAGCAGUACGCUGAACGCAAUUGGAGGGCAAGUCUGGUGCCAGCAGCCGCG
rnacentral:rRNA from 1 species